GCUUUGGUGGCCUAGUAGUUAGAGCGUCCGCUUUGGAUGCGGGAGGUCGUGGGAUAUAUCCCCAGUCGAGCCA